ACUCAAAUGAAUUGACGGGGGCUCACACAAGCGGUGGAGCAUGUGGCUUAAUUCGAAGCAACGCGAAGAACCUUAUCCUGGGUUUGACAUGUAUGGAUUAGUCACCAGAAACGGUGAUGACACUCUUGUAGUGGAACAUACACAGGUGCUGCAUGGCUGUCGUCAGCUCGUGCUGUGAAGUGUCGGGUUAAGUCCCUUAACGAGCGAAACCCCUAUCACUAGUUGCGAACAGGUCAAGCUGCGGACUCUAGUGAGACUGCCGGUGUUAAACCGGACGAAGGUGGGGAUGACGUCAAGUCCUCAUGGCCUUUAUGCCCAGGGCUGCACACGUGCUACAAUGGUGCGAACAGAACGAUGCAAGACCGCAAGGUGGAGCAAAUCGCUUAAAUCGCACCCCAGUUCGGAUUGGAGGCUGCAACCCGCCUCCAUGAAGUCGGAAUCGCUAGUAAUCGCGGAUCAGCUACGCCGCGGUGAAUACGUUCCUGAGCCUUGUACACACCGCCCGU
rnacentral:rRNA from 1 species